AACAAAGAGUUCCUAAAAUGAACUAUUUACCUUGUUACUGGGAAUUUGGCCUCAGGGAUUAAAUCAUAUAUUUCUUGCCAUUCUUCAGGAAUGUUAAUAAAAUCUCGGUAAACCUUGAUUUGUAGCACUGUUCCAAUAGUGAUAUGUUGCAAAAGCUGUAAAAAUUCUCGAAGAGUAUAUCCUAACACAUUGGCAUGGCCAACACUAAUCAGAACAUCACCUGAAGAGGGAAAAAAUUAUGUAUCAGUAAAACUAGAGGUUUAAAGGGAC
rnacentral:lncRNA from 1 species